GACGUAGGGCGCGAGCGUUGUCCGGAUUUAUUGGGCGUAAAGCGUGCGCAGGCGGUUUUGUAAGCCAGAUGUGAAAGCCCCGGGCUCAACCUGGGAAUGGCAUUUGGGACUGCAAGGCUGGAGUUUGGCAGAGGAGACUGGAAUUCCUGGUGUAGCAGUGAAAUGCGUAGAUAUCAGGAGGAAUACCGAUGGCGAAGGCAGGUCUCUGGGCUAUAACUGACGCUCAUGCACGAAAGCGUGGGGAGCAAACAGG
rnacentral:rRNA from 1 species